UGUACUAACUACUGUAAGUCGCUCUGGUUAAGAGUGUCUGCUAAAUGAUUCUAA
rfam:Salmo salar isolate Sally breed double haploid chromosome ssa07, whole genome shotgun sequence.